AGAAUUCACCAAGUGUUGGAUUGUUCACCCACCAAUAGGGAACGUGAGCUGGGUUUAGACCGUCGUGAGAUAGGUUAGUUUUACCCUACUGAUGGCAGCGUCGUAAUAAUAAUUCAACCUAGUACGAGAGGAAUCGUUGAUUCGCACAAUUGGUCAUUGUGCUUGGUUGAAAAGCCAGUGGCGCGAAGCUACCGUGCGCUGGAUUAUGACUGAACGCCUCUAAGUCAGAAUCCGGGUUAGAAGCGACGCACGCGCCCGUCGCCCGAUUGUCGACCCGCAGUAGGGGCCUUUAGCCCCCAAGGGCACGUGUCGUAGAUGCAGCGAUCGUAGCGGACAAGUCACGGGCGCCUCCUUGGAGCGUAAUUCCCACCGAGUGGCAGGUAGAAUCCUUUGCAGAUGACUUAAAUACGCGACGGGGUAUUGUAAGUAGCAGAGUGGCCUUGCUGCAACGAUCCACUAAGAUUCAGCCCUUUGUCACUUCGAUUUGU
rnacentral:ncRNA from 1 species